UGUAAUGGGGUUCUGAUGUCCUCUUCUGGU
rnacentral:piRNA from 1 species